GGCGGCGUAGCUCAGUCGGUUAGAGCGCUGCACUCAUAAUGCAGAGGUCGGUGGUUCGAGCCCACCCGCCGCUACCU
rnacentral:tRNA from 1 species